rnacentral:rRNA from 1 species
GAUGAACGCUGGCGGCGUGCUUAAUACAUGCAAGUCGAGCGAACAGACGAGGAUCUUGCUCCUCUGACGUUAGCGACGGACGGGUGAGUAACACGUGGAUAACCUACCUAUAAGACUGGGAUAACUUCGGGAAACCGGAGCUAAUACCGGAUAAUCUAUUGAACCGCAUGGUUCAAUAGUGAAAGACGGCUUUGCUGUCACUUAUCGCUGGUUCUGGGCCGCAUUAGCUAGUUGGUAGGGUAACGGGUUACCAAGGCGACGAUGCGUAGCCGACCUGAGGGAGGGAUCGGCCGCACUGGAAGUGGGACACGGACAAGGCGCCUGCGGGAGGCAGCAGUAGGGAAUCGUCCGCAGUAGGCGAAAGCCUGACGGAGCGACGCCAAGUGAGUGAUGAAGGUCUUCGGAGCGUAAAACUCUGUUAUUAGGGAAGAACAAAUGUGUAAGUAACUAUGCACGUCUUGACGGUACCUGAUCAAAAAGCCACGGCUAACUACGUG